rnacentral:antisense_RNA from 1 species
CUGGUCGUGAACUGCCAGUAGUCCUGCGACUCCAGCAGCACCUCGUAGCUGUAGUGGUCGCCAUCCGCCAGCGUCUCGAGCACGGUGUCAUCGCCGUACUUGCCCUUGCCAAUCUUGUUCACCUUGCCGUGGGCGAUGAGGCAGAUGGAGUCGGCCUCCUUGCCGGCCUCGGUGAUCACCUGACCGGGCUUGAACUCCUUCUGCUCGAAGCGGUUGGCCAGGGCGGUCAGUACCUCGUUGUCCUCGAAGCCGCGCAGCAACGGCAGCUCACGGAGUUCCUGGGGAAUGACCUGGACCUUCGCACCGGUGUUGAAGAAGGUCACCCGGCCGUCGCCCACGGUGUAGCUCAUGCGGCGGUUGAGACGGAACGUGCCGCCCGAGACCUGCACCCACGGCAGCAGCUUCAGCAGCCACCGGGACGAGAUUCCCUGCAUCUGCGGAACGGACUUGGUCGUCGUCGUCAGCUGGCGCGCCGCGAGCGUCGCGAGGCUCAACUGCUGCUUUUCCU